rnacentral:misc_RNA from 1 species
CAAGAAACGAGGCUACGUGCCCCGCUCUUUACCUUGCCUACUGCACUAUCUGUUGCUUCCUGGCGGCGGUUUGCCUGCCGCCAGGGACAUUGUAAAGCCCUGUAUAAGCAUUAAAAAACUGAAACAAACCGAAUCGUA